rnacentral:rRNA from 1 species
CUCAUUAAAUCAGUUAUAGUUUAUUUGAUGGUCUCUUUUGUCUUUUUUUACCUACUUGGAUAACCGUGGUAAUUCUAGAGCUAAUACAUGCGCAAGGUCCCGAGCGCGGGGGGCGGGGCUUCACGGCCUCGUUCUCGCAUGCGCAGAGGGAUGUAUUUAUUAGGUUAAACAACCAGCAUUUUUUCUAUUUCUGGUGAUUCAUAGUAACUCUUUCGGAUCGCAUUCAUG